rnacentral:tRNA from 1 species
GGCCGCCUGGCGAAAUGGUAUCGCGUCUGACUACGAUUUGUGAUAUAUCAGGAGAUUGCAGGUUCGAGCCCUGCGGUGGUCA